CUAAUUCUACUGUGCUAUGGAAAGAAGAUCUAAAAGGGCCGGCUACCUGAUUGACAGCCAGGCCUUCACUGCACUGUAAUUCUCGAAGAACUGGAUUAUACAUGUUAAACAGUUUAGAUUUCACUGGCCUAGCUACUGUGUCUGUAUAGACCUGAAGCCUUAUAAUUUAAUGUCUAAGGAUUUGCACAAACAGCAGGGACUUGUGAGUAUCUUUUUUUCAUUUUAAUUGAGCUUUUGCAU